UUUUACUGAUUUUAGAAAAAUAUAAAAAUUCCCUAGUAGCUAUUGUGGAGUUGCCAUACUGCCGAAUAGAAUCCCCGUUACUUUGAAUGAGAAGCUCGUGCAGAGACGUAAAGUGCAAGGGAAACAAAAACUGAAAUUAAUAAUAAAACUAAAAACAUAGAUACAUCAUGUCGCAAAAGGAAGUCGAGGAUUCCAGUGGAAAAUUUACGCAGAAAAUGUCAAGAAGCUCUUCCUGUCUCUUGUGGAGCCCAAGAACCCCACCGAUCUGCCCAAGCUGGCGUAGGGUCUGGAGCGCCUGACCAAGUCCAAUGAUGCAUAUUAUAUAUAUUAUAUAGUUUAAAAUUUC